UGGUGGAUGGUAUGGAACUU
rnacentral:siRNA from 1 species